rnacentral:rRNA from 1 species
CACGUAGGGGGCGAGCGUUGUCCGGAUUUAUUGGGCGUAAAGAGCUCGUAGGCGGUUUGGCAAGUCGGGUGUGAAAUUUCGAGGCUCAACCUCGAAACGCCACUCGAUACUGCCAUGACUGGAGUCCGGUAGAGGAGUGCGGAAUUCCUGGUGUAGCGGUGAAAUGCGCAGAUAUCAGGAGGAACACCGGUGGCGAAGGCGGCAUCCUGGACCAGUGACUGACGCUGAGGAGCGAAAGCGUGGGGAGCGAACAGG